rnacentral:lncRNA from 1 species
AGGAAUUGUGUAGCUUUGGAGCCUUACACUAGUUGAGUGAAGAAGAGAGCAAAAAAGUUCAAGAUGCCAUACGCUUAUGAAAGACCUAUGUCCUUAGUAAUGGUCAAAUCACCCACUAUUAAAGGCAUAUAGGAGUUACAUGAGGCUUUGGAUAGGAUGAAGCAAGAGAGGGAUGAUUGAGAAGAUAAAUUUAACACAUC